GGGGCAAAAAUAUUAAUUCGAUCAAUAAUAUAAAUUUUAUUUCUCAUACGAUAUUUCUUAAAUAAUUUUCAUAUAAAUUUACCAUGCGCAAGGCGCAUGUCUUUUCCUAAUUUCUUAUUAUUUCAUUUAGAACACUCUCAAACUUCUAAAACUAGUUGUGAAUAAUAUCUGAAAUUGUUUUUCUGGUAAAGUAUGUUCUGUAUUGUGAAAGGAAAGUUGGACCAUCUAUUCGAGAGACCUUUUAUUUAAUGUUGAAGCUCAUGGACUCUUAUUAAUUGAUAGGAAAGGAACAAACGAAUAAUGAAACACGUGAGUGCAUGAAUAUACAGUUGCACUCGCGCUCAUAUAUCCUCCAUGCAGUGCACACAAAAGUACCUCAAGAAAUGGACCAACUAGUAAGUUUAUAUACUUUUUACCUGUUUUUUAUACUAAUGGUUUUUACCUGGUUAAGAGAUCUGUUUAUCUCUUUUAACAUGUUUACCACAAAAUAUAUGUUUAUAUCAAUGUUUUGAAAACCAGAUCAGACAUCGACUCGACAUUGUAUCUGGUUCAUCGGUCCGACCAGUCCAACCGCUUCAACCGGAUUUUAAAUUUUGACUUAAUUUUAGAUUAGGUAACUAUACAUAUAUGUAUAACUAUAACAUUAUCUUUAUAAAAUUUUAUAUCAUUGUUAGAAUCUAAAAACAAUAUGAAAAUAAAAUGAAAACUUUUACAAUAAUAUAAAAUAUAAUGUAUAGUAAUUUAUUUAGAUAUAUAUUUAAAAAUAAUAUGAUUUUUUUUACGAAAUCUUUUCAAAAUUUGUAGUUUUUUAUAUUUUUUUACUUGAAUUUGAAAAAAAAACAGAUUUUAAUAUCGAACCGGAUCACCGGUUUUAACGAGUUUCACCGAUUUUUAACUGAAUUUGCUGGUUUAAUUCAAAUACGGUUUUUAUUACAAACUGAAACCGAUUAGAAAGCCGAGUCACGGUCCGACUGGUCUGCUCUAGUUUUCAAAAACACUGGUUUAUAUCAACAUUUUUUGGGCAACCAAGAGUGGUAGCCCUUAUUCUGAAACUCGUUCGGCCUUGUACGUACAUUUGGAUAUGGCUUAAUGGAGUUAUGAAAUUGUUGGAGAUUAAUCGAGAAUUUAUUAUGUGUUUUUAUUACAUAUAUAUCUAAUGGUAAAACAAUACUGAGGAUUUACGGUGGUCCAGCAGUUUAGGUUAUUGUGUUACACUACGAGAGAAAAUAGUUUUGAUAGUUUUUCAAAAAAAAAAAGAAAAUAGUUUUGAUAGCACUAGAGUAUAGCGUUUUUUGCCUUUCUGCUAUGGUUGACAUACCUCCUAAAUUUAAAUAGCGUUUGUAUAUUUGGAAACACUAUGAUAGAAUGGUAUAUUCGGAAACGAUAUCAUGAUAGCGUAUGUUUAAUAGCAGAAUAUAAUGAAAUGCUAUAUUAAGCUUUUUGAAUCCUCAAACCCUAAACAAGUUUUAAUCCCUAAAUUAUAAACACAACGUAAAACUCUAAUAUUCUCAUACUAUAACUUCAGAUCUUAAAUAUAAACUCGAAAUUUACUCUUUUUAAUCUUAAUAUAUAACUUUCAAAACACAAGCCUUAAAUCUCUAAUCAAACUCUAACAAUAUAAACCCUAAACCACAUACUUUGACAUAUAUCAUAAUAUAAGAACAUUAAACUCAAACUUUAAAUAAAAUAUAAUUUCAAUAAUAUAUAUCUCAAACUAUGUAUAAUAUUUCAAAUUUACAUUAUAAAAUUCAAAAAUAAAAAUAAAACCAUUAAAUAAUUAAAAAACAACACAAAAAGAUGAUUAUAAAUAAAUGAACAGAUAAUUCUUAUUAGUUUUAUUUUGGGCCUUUGAUUAGUUUUGAUCCAAAGGCUCAAAAUCACUCUUUUGUGAUCUUCCUCCUUCAUUCUUAUUGGCCCAUUCUUUAAAAUUUGGAUUAAUAUUUCUGACCAUUGAUUAUUUGUAAUCCAAUGGCCAAGAAUUCAUCUUUUCAUUUUCCUUCUUCUAGACUCUAUCGAUCUCUUCCUCUGUAUCAUUCUCUUCAUCUCCCUCACUGUCUCAAACACACCUCCCUCACUGUCUCAAACACACACACACGAUUCAUGUAACACACAUCUCUUUUCUCUGUAACACUCUCCUCACACACACACAAAUCUGAAGGUGGAGUCGAACCAGCGACCGCUGAUCUGAAGAUGCUUGACCACCGCCAUCUCUCCCUUUCGCCACCGUCUCUCUCACCACCACCGAUGUGGUGGUCAUUGGGUUUGCGGCUAGGAGGCGAUGGAGAAGCUGGUGGUCGGAGCAGAGUGGUGGUCAUGGGGCUUGCAGCGGGAAGGCGACGGAGAAGUUGGUGGCCGUGAGAAAACGUUGUGGUCAUGGGGCUUGCGGCGAGGAACGGAGAAGUUCGUGAGGAGGCUGGCUCAAGAAUAUUAGGUUUUGAUUAGGUUUAAUUAAAAUUAGGUUAGAUUAGAUUUAAUUUUGAAAACAUUUGGUUUAGUGUUAAGUGUAAACCGAUUCUUAUCUUCUAUCAAAUGUAAUUUAUAAUGUUUAAUAAAAAAUAAUUUAUUAUGUU